GACGAACGCUGGCGGCGUGCUUAACACAUGCAAGUCGAACGGUAAGGCCCUUCGGGGUACACGAGUGGCGAACGGGUGAGUAACACGUGGGUGAUCUGCCCUGCACUUCGGGAUAAGCCUGGGAAACUGGGUCUAAUACCGGAUAGGACUCCUGGCUUCAUGGUUGGGGGUGGAAAGCUUUUGCGGUGUGGGAUGGGCCCGCGGCCUAUCAGCUCGUUGGUGGGGUAAUGGCCUACCAAGGCGACGACGGGUAGCCGGCCUGAGAGGGUGACCGGUCACACGGGGAGUGAGAUACGGCCCAGACUCCUACGGGAGGCAGCAGUGGGGAAUAUUGCACAAUGGGCGCAAGCCUGAUGCAGCGACGCCGCGUGAGGGAUGACGGCCUUCGGGUUGUAAACCUCUUUCAGCUAUGACGAAGCGCAAGUGACGGUAGUAGCAGAAGAAGGACCGGCCAACUACGUGCCAGCCGCCGCGGUAA
rnacentral:rRNA from 1 species